AUAUCAGUCAUGCAUAGCAUAUCAAUAAGCGGAGGAAAAGAAACUAACAAGGAUUCCCUUAGUAACGGCGAGUGAAGCGGGAAGAGCUCAAAUUUGAAAUCUUCAAGGUUCUACCUUGACGAAUUGUAGUUUAUAGAAGUGUUUUCUGUUAGUGGAGUGGCAAAAGUUCUUUGGAAUAGGACAUCAUAGAGGGUGAGAAUCCCGUAUUUGGUCAUUCCUCCUAGCGUUGUGAUACACUUUCAACGAGUCGGAUUGUUUGGGAAUGCAGUCCAAAAUGGGUGGUAAAUUUCAUCUAAAGCUAAAUAUUGGCGAGAGACCGAUAGCGAACAAGUACCGUGAGGGAAAGAUGAAAGGAACUUUGAAAAGAGAGUUAAACAGUACGUGAAAUUGUCAAAAGGGAAGCGUUUGACACCAGUGUUGUUUUUCCGAAAAUCAAUUACGAAUGUUUUGUUUUUGAGAAGUUAUGACUUCAUCGGCUUGCUUCUCUCUUUACGAAACUUUCUUAAUGCACUUUUCAGUUAACAAGUCAACAUCAAUUUCUUUUGUUGUAAAAGGGUAUGAGGAAGGUGGCUUUCUUUUCGGAGAAAGUGUUUAUAGCCUUGUGCCUCUGCAAUCGGAGAGAUUGAGGUCUGCAGCGUAGAUCCCUUCGGGGUUAGAUACGUUUGUGCUAAGUUAUAGCUUUUCAUAGACAACUUGUUGACUAUGUUUAGUCUUGUAGCUUACUCGCUGAUGCUAUUUUACCUACGCUUAGGAUGUUGAUCUCUCACAGUCGAGC
rnacentral:rRNA from 1 species